rnacentral:lncRNA from 1 species
AUUGAUAAAAAUGUGAACUUUUUGGAAUGUGUUUUAAGGUUUGGUAGAGAGGGAAAAAGAGUAAGAGGAGAAGUUCUCAAAAGAAUCAAUAAAAGGGUGGUGGUGGUGGUGAUGCAUAUGAGAUUCCAACAACAGGUGGCAAUGGCCCUUCAUAUACAGGAGUAGGUGGUGGUGGUGGUGGUGAAUUGUAUUGAAUUGGUGGUGGUGGUGGUGAAUAGACUGGUGCUGGCGGUGGUGAUGAAUAUACUGGUGGUGGUGAUGGAGAUGGUGGUGGGUGAUAAGGUGUUUGGUGUGGUGGUGGUGGUGGGGGUGAUGGCGACGGUGGUGGUGGUGAAUGUUCUUCACAAGGUGGUGGUGGAGGUGGAGGAGGUUCUAUACAAGGUGGUGGAGAUGGUGGUGGUGGGGACUGGACUGGUGGUGGAGGUGAGUGAACUGGAGGAGGUGGUGGUGGUGAUAAAUAGGGAUAAGGUGGGGGAGGAGAGUGAGGUGGUGGUGGCGGCGAAUGAGGUGGUGGUGGAGGCGACUGAGGUGACGGUGGAGGUGGUGAGCUAUAGUAGUAAGGUACAGGUGGUGGUGGUGAGAAUACAGGAGCCGGAGGAGGUGGUGAAUUUGGUGGUGGAGGUGGCGGAGAACUAACACAAUAUAUUGGUGAUGGUGGUGGUGGUGAUGGAGGUGGCAAAUAAACUGGAGGUGGCGGUGAUGGUGGUGGUGGUGGUGGAGAGUACACUGGAGGUGGAGGUGGUGGAGAGUACGCUGGUGGUGGCGGUGGUGGAGGUGGUGGAGAGUACGCUGGUGGUGGCGGUGGUGGAGAGUACACUGGUGGAGGUGGUGGUGGAGAGUAUACCGGUGGAGGUGGUGGUGGUGGAGAAGGUGGUGGCGGUGAUGGUGGUGGAGGAGGUGGUGAAUACACUGGAGGAGGUGGUGGCGGCGGUGAAGGUGGUGGCGGUGAAGGAGGAGGUGGCGGUGGUGAAUAAACCGGUGGCGGAGGUGGAG